UCUUCCACUCCCUCGUUUUCUAUUUUUUGCUGCUCACAGCUAGCAUUAAUUCCCUCAAAGCAGCUGGCCUGUGUUUUCUCUAAAUCACUACAGGAGAAAAUCCACAAAUAAUAGACAUGAAUAAAAGCUCUACUCUUAGCUUUACUCCUUGAUUUUCUUUUUCAUUAUGUAUUUUUCUGUUUCUCUCUCCUAGAACCCGAAUUUCCUUUCCUGCAGCUUCUCUGUCCAAAUUUGUUCUUCAUUCUCCCCUUCUAAUGACCAGACUUCUGCAGUUGGAAAUAUACUGGCCAGCUGUUUAUUCCAAAAAUGCUUAAUCCCUGAUGCACCUGCUACAGCUUUUAGCAUUAAAAUUAAUUUCUUAACAAGAGAGGAAUAUGCCAGAGGAGAGUGGAACCCUUUAAACCACAGACUCUCCCUCAUGUGACCUUCCGUGCCAGAGGCAGCARGAAAGUCACUGCUCUCCAGCCAGAGAGGUGGUUUA